UGGGUAACCUGCCCUUAACUCUGGGAUAAGCCUGGGAAACUGGGUCUAAUACCGGAUAUGACUCCUCAUCGCAUGGUGGGGGGUGGAAAGCUUUAUUGUGGUUUUGGAUGGACUCGCGGCCUAUCAGCUUGUUGGUGAGGUAACGGCUCACCAAGGCAACGAUGCGUAGCCGACCUGAGAGGGUGAUCGGCCACAUUGGGACUGAGACACGGCCCAGACUCCUACGGGAGCAG
rnacentral:rRNA from 1 species